rnacentral:lncRNA from 1 species
GGCAACACACUAUUAUGAUUCAUUUUCCAAGAUUUUUUUGGUUCAAUUCCUAUAUCUCGCAAAAGAUUUUUUUUGUUUUUUUUUUAAAUUAUAAAACAUUAUUUGAAACUUACCAAUAUGGAGAUAUAAUCCUUAAUUUUGCUGAUCACCUUUCAUAUAUAAUUGAGACAUUGAUCAAGUAUACUAAGAAUACAUUUUUGGAAACCCAUCAUAUAUAUGAUACAUGUCAUCCUAAAUAAGAUAUAUGUUUAAGUUUGUUAAUAUAUAAACUUAAUGUUUGGUUAUUAGCAAUGCACCAUAG